rnacentral:rRNA from 1 species
GAUGAACGCUGGCGGCGUGCUUAACACAUGCAAGUCGAACGAAGCAUUUAGAACAGAUUACUUCGGUUUGAAGUUCUUUAUGACUGAGUGGCGGACGGGUGAGUAACGCGUGGGUAACCUGCCUUGUACUGGGGGAUAGCAGCUGGAAACGGCUGGUAAUAGCGCAUAAGCGCACAAUGUUGCAUGACAUGGUGUGAAAAACUCCGGUGGUAUAAGAUGGACCCGCGUCUGAUUAGCUAGUUGGUGAGAUAACAGCCCACCAAGGCGACGAGCAGUAGCCGACCUGGGAGGGUGACCGGCGACAUUGGGACUGAGACACGGCCCAGACUCCUACGGGAAGCAGCAGUGGGGAAUAUUGCACAAUGGAGGAAACUCUGAUGCAGCGACGCCGCGGGAGUGAAGAAGUAAUUCGUUAUGUAAAGCUCUAUCAGCAGGGAAGAUAGUGACGGUACCUGACUAAGAAGCGCCGGCUAAAUACGUG